GACGAACGCUGGCGGCGUGCCUAAUACAUGCAAGUCGAGCGGAUGAAAGAGGAGCUUGCUCCUCUAGAUUCAGCGGCGGACGGGUGAGUAACACGUGGGCAACCUGCCCUGUAGAUUGGGAUAACUCCGGGAAACCGGGGCUAAUACCGAAUAAUCCUUCGGACCUCAUGGUCCGAUGUUGAAAGACGGUUUCGGCUGUCACUACAGGAUGGGCCCGCGGCGCAUUAGCUAGUUGGUGAGGUAACGGCUCACCAAGGCCACGAUGCGUAGCCGACCUGAGAGGGUGAUCGGCCACACUGGGACUGAGACACGGCCCAGACUCCUACGGGAGGCAGCAGUAGGGAAUCUUCCACAAUGGACGAAAGUCUGAUGGAGCAACGCCGCGUGAGUGAAGAAGGUUCUCGGAUCGUAAAACUCUGUUGUGAGGGAAGAACAAGUACCGGAGUAACUGCCGGUGCCUUGACGGUACCUCAUUAGAAAGCCACGGCUAACUACGUGCCAGCCGCCGCUGUAAUAC
rnacentral:rRNA from 1 species